ACUUGGCUGGCUCAGUCGGUAGAGCGUGAGACUCUGGAUCUCAGGGUCGUGAGUUCAAGUCCCAUGUUGGGCA
rnacentral:tRNA from 1 species